AUCCCAGUGAAAAUGCCCCCCGCCCCCCGUCCGGAAAUAGGGAGUUGGUAUCAGGCACACAAAUUUGUAGCCCAUGACACCUAGCUUUGCCACGCCCCCAAGGGAAUUCAGCAGUGAUAAACAUUAAGCCAUAAGUGAAAACUUGACUUAGUCAUGAUCUAAAGAGUCGGUAAAACUCGUGCCAGCCACCGCGGUUAUACGAGAGACCCAAGUUGUUAGCCAACGGCGUAAAGGGUGGUUAGAACUAUAGACAACAAACUGAGACCGAACACCUUCAAGGCUGUUAUACGCUUCCGAAGCAACGAAGAACAAUAACGAAAGUAGCCUCACUAACUCGAACCCACGAAAGCUAGGGCACAAACUGGGAUUAGAUACCCCACUAUGCCUACCCCUAAACACGAUAUGAACCUACGUACAUAUCCGCCUGGUUACUACGAGCAUUAGCUUAAAACCCAAAGGACUUGGCGGUGCUUUAAAACCAUCUAGAGGAGCCUGUUUUAAAACCGAUACUCCCCGUUCAACCUCACCCCUCCUUGUUUUAACC
rnacentral:rRNA from 1 species